CACCGGCGGCUCGAGUGGUGGCCACUUUUAUUGGGUCUAAAGCGUCCGUAGCCGGCUUGGUAAGUCCCCUGGGAAAUCUGGCGGCUUAACCGUCAGGCGUCCAGAGGAUACUGCCAGGCUUGGGACCGGGAGAGGUGAGAGGUACCUCAGGGGUAGGGGUGAAAUCUUGUGAUCCCUGAGGGACCACCAGUGGCGAAGGCGUCUCACUAGAACGGGUCCGACGGUCAGGGACGAAAGCUGGGGGCACGAACCGG
rnacentral:rRNA from 1 species